UUGAACGCUGGCGGCAGGCCUAACACAUGCAAGUCGAACGGUAGCACAGAGAGCUUGCUCUCGGGUGACGAGUGGCGGACGGGUGAGUAAUGUCUGGGAAACUGCCUGAUGGAGGGGGAUAACUACUGGAAACGGUAGCUAAUACCGCAUAACGUCGCAAGACCAAAGAGGGGGACCUUCGGGCCUCUUGCCAUCAGAUGUGCCCAGAUGGGAUUAGCUAGUAGGUGGGGUAAUGGCUCACCUAGGCGACGAUCCCUAGCUGGUCUGAGAGGAUGACCAGCCACACUGGAACUGAGACACGGUCCAGACUCCUACGGGAGGCAGCAGUGGGGAAUAUUGCACAAUGGGCGCAAGCCUGAUGCAGCCAUGCCGCGUGUAUGAAGAAGGCCUUCGGGUUGUAAAGUACUUUCAGCGGGGAGGAAGGUGUUGUGGUUAAUAACCGCAGCAAUUGACGUUACCCGCAGAAGAAGCACCGGCUAACUCCGUGCCAGCAGCCGCGGUAAUACGGAGGGUGCAAGCGUUAAUCGGAAUUACUGGGCGUAAAGCGCGCGCAGGCGGUCUGUCAAGUCGGAUGUGAAAUCCCCGGGCUCAACCUGGGAACUGCAUUCGAAACUGGCAGGCUAGAGUCUUGUAGAGGGGGGUAGAAUUCCAGGUGUAGCGGUGAAAUGCGUAGAGAUCUGGAGGAAUACCGGUGGCGAAGGCGGCCCCCUGGACAAAGACUGACGCUCAGGUGCGAAAGCGUGGGGAGCAAACAGGAUUAGAUACCCUGGUAGUCCACGCCGUAAACGAUGUCGACUUGGAGGUUGUGCCCUUGAGGCGUGGCUUCCGGAGCUAACGCGUUAAGUCGACCGCCUGGGGAGUACGGCCGCAAGGUUAAAACUCAAAUGAAUUGACGGGGGCCCGCACAAGCGGUGGAGCAUGUGGUUUAAUUCGAUGCAACGCGAAGAACCUUACCUACUCUUGACAUCCAGAGAACUUUCCAGAGAUGGAUUGGUGCCUUCGGGAACUCUGAGACAGGUGCUGCAUGGCUGUCGUCAGCUCGUGUUGUGAAAUGUUGGGUUAAGUCCCGCAACGAGCGCAACCCUUAUCCUUUGUUGCCAGCGGUCCGGCCGGGAACUCAAAGGAGACUGCCAGUGAUAAACUGGAGGAAGGUGGGGAUGACGUCAAGUCAUCAUGGCCCUUACGAGUAGGGCUACACACGUGCUACAAUGGCGCAUACAAAGAGAAGCGAACUCGCGAGAGCAAGCGGACCUCAUAAAGUGCGUCGUAGUCCGGAUUGGAGUCUGCAACUCGACUCCAUGAAGUCGGAAUCGCUAGUAAUCGUAGAUCAGAAUGCUACGGUGAAUACGUUCCCGGGCCUUGUACACACCGCCCGUCACACCAUGGGAGUGGGUUGCAAAAGAAGUAGGUAGCUUAACCUUCGGGAGGGCGCUUACCACUUUGUGAUUCAUGACUGGGGUG
rnacentral:rRNA from 1 species